UACGAAGGGGGCGAGCGUUGUUCGGAUUUACUGGGCGUAAAGGGCGCGUAGGCGGCCCUCCUUGUCGCGUGUGAAAGCCCCGGGCUCAACCUGGGAAUUGCGCGCGAAACGGGGGGGCUUGAGUUCGGGAGAGGAGCGUGGAAUUCCCAGUGUAGAGGUGAAAUUCGUAGAUAUUCGCAAGAACACCAGUGGCGAAGGCGGCUCACUGGCCCGGUACUGACGCUGAGGCACGAAAGCGUGGGGAGCAAACAGG
rnacentral:rRNA from 1 species